rnacentral:tRNA from 1 species
GCUCUUGUGGCGAAAUUGGUAAACGCAAUGGUCCGAGGAGCCAUCUUUAAUUGAUUGAUGGGUUCAAGUCCCAUCGAGAGCA